GGGACUUUAUUCCCACAAGUCAACACAUGAAGAAGCUCCUCACUGAGAUACGUGUUGACAUGACUCAUCAAUAGUUCAGGUCUAAUCCUUCAGGAAAUGUUUAAU